rnacentral:misc_RNA from 1 species
AAACUAAUUUAAAUAAAAAUUAAAAUUAUUUAAAUUAAAAAUUUUCAAUAAAUAUAAGAAUAAAAUUUAAAAAAAAAUUAAACUAACGGUUAAAAUAGUGAAAGAGGAGAGUUGCCUUGUGAAUUUGAUGAUUUUUCUUUUUUAAGUACUUAAUUUGUUAAAUCACAAAAUGAAUUUAUUUUUUUAACGAUAAAUGAUGAAAUUGAAUUUGAAAUAUAUAGAAAAAAUUAUACCAUUAAAUUUAGGCUGGCUUUUAAGUACGGCGACGAUAUGAUUAUGAACCAUAAAACCCUGUAGACACAAAAUGAAAAGGAUCGUGCGCUUCCACCACGUGCACUGGUUAAGGGCCAUUUUCAUGGUUAAACGCGGGCCUACAAGGCUUUUUCUGGGCGUGGACUUUCUUCAAACAGUUAUUAGGAAUUUCCCUUUAUAAUUGCGUUUUUGGUAUGGUCGAUUGGCAGGGAUCACAAUUGCUCUGAAUCUGAUUCGACCGUCUUGCAUUUGAUUAAUUUUCUAUUCCGUUUUGAUUUCGAUAUUAUGGAGUGCAGGAAAUGAGAAAAUUUCUUCAUCCGAUAAUAAUAUAUAUAU